rnacentral:rRNA from 1 species
GACGAACGCUGGCGGCGUGCUUAACACAUGCAAGUCGAACGGUGAAGCGCCUUCCUUUUUGGUGGGUGUGGAUGAGUGGCGAACGGGUGAGUAACACGUGAGUAACCUGCCCCCUUCUUCUGGAUAACCGCAUGAAAGUGUGGCUAAUACGGGAUAUUCUGGGUCUGUCGCAUGAUGGGUCUGGGAAAGAUAUUGUUUCGGUGGGGGAUGGGCUCGCGGCCUAUCAGCUUGUUGGUGGGGUGAUGGCCUACCAAGGCGGUGCCGGGUAGCCGGCCUGAGAGGGUGGACGGUCACACUGGGACUGAGACACGGCCCAGACUCCUACGGGAGGCAGCAGUGGGGAAUAUGGCACAAUGGGCGCAAGCCUGAUGCAGCGACGCCGCGGGAGGGAUGGAGGCCUGCGGGUUGUGAACCUCUUUCGCCAGUGAAGCAGGCCUGCCUCGUUUGUGGGUGGGUUGACGGUAGCUGGAGAAGAAGCGCCGGCUAACUACGUG